GUCCCCGUAGCGCGAUGAAUACCGCUUAGGAUUUCUAAUCCAUAGGUCGUGGUUUCGAAUACCACCUGGGAUA